rnacentral:rRNA from 1 species
AGCAGCCGCCGCGGGAACACCGAGGGUGCAAGCGUUAAUCGGAAUUACUGGGCGUAAAGCGCGCGUAGGUGGUUUGUUAAGUUGGAUGUGAAAGCCCCGGGCUCAACCUGGGAACUGCAUCCAAAACUGGCAAGCUAGAGUACGGUAGAGGGUGGUGGAAUUUCCUGUGUAGCGGUGAAAUGCGUAGAUAUAGGAAGGAACACCAGUGGCGAAGGCGACCACCUGGACUGAUACUGACACUGAGGUGCGAAAGCGUGGGGAGCAAACAGGAUUAGAUACCCCCGUAGUCCCUGUCUCUUAUAA